rnacentral:rRNA from 1 species
AACGAACGCUGGCGGCAGGCUUAACACAUGCAAGUCGAACGCCCCGCAAGGGGAGUGGCAGACGGGUGAGUAACGCGUGGGAACAUACCCUUUUCCACGGAAUAGCUCUGGGAAACUGGAAUUAAUACCGUAUACGCCCUACGGGGGAAAGAUUUAUCGGGGAAGGAUUGGCCCGCGUUGGAUUAGCUAGUUGGUGGGGUAAAGGCCUACCAAGGCGACGAUCCAUAGCUGGUCUGAGAGGAUGAUCAGCCACAUUGGGACUGAGACACGGCCCAAACUCCUACGGGAGGCAGCAGUGGGGAAUAUUGGACAAUGGGCGCAAGCCUGAUCCAGCCAUGCCGCGUGAGUGAUGAAGGCCUUAGGGUUGUAAAGCUCUUUCACCGAUGAAGAUAAUGACGGUAGUCGGAGAAGAAGCCCCGGCUAACUUCGUG